rfam:Stegodyphus mimosarum contig83501, whole genome shotgun sequence.
AACUAGGUGGCCGAGUGCUUAAGGAGAUGGCAUGCUAAUCCGUUGGGCUCUGUCCGCGUGGGUUCGAAUCCCAUCCUCGUCU